rnacentral:rRNA from 1 species
UGGGGAAUAUUGCACAAUGGAGGGAACUCUGAUGCAGCGACGCCGCGUGAACGAAGAAGGCUUUCGAGUCGUAAAGUUCUUUUAUAUGGGAAGAUAAUGACGGUACCAUAAGAAAAAGCCCCGGCUAACUACGUGCCAGCAGCCGCGGUAAUACGUAGGGGGCUAGCGUUGUCCGGAAUCACUGGGCGUAAAGGGUUCGCAGGCGGAAAUGCAAGUCAGGUGUAAAAGGCAGUAGCUUAACUACUGUAAGCAUUUGAAACUGCAUAUCUUGAGAAGAGUAGAGGUAAGUGGAACUUUUAGUGUAGCGGUGAAAUGCGUAGAUAUUAAAAAGAAUACCGGUGGCGAAGGCGACUUACUGGGCUCAUUCUGACGCUGAGGAACGAAAGCGUGGGUAGCAAACAGG